CCGGAAUUUCUGUGAUUUUGCCUACAAACGAUGCUUCGCGCGCGUUACAUAAAAUCCCUUCUCUUUUCUUCCUUCCUUUCCUAAAAAACCCUAUCUUUUGUUUAUGAUUCUCUCUUUGAAAUCGAAGAGCAAGACGAAUCAUUGCAGAAGUUUGAUGGAAUAGAAAGAGACUGGAGCUGAAAUCUGGUACGGUUUUUGGAUUUUUUCGCCCCAUAGAUUUCAUUUUUGUUUUGUUUUUGUUUUUUUUUUUGAAAAAAGGGAGCAUGAAAUCUUGCAUGUGGAGUUGUUGAAAUGCUUUCAUAUUGAAACUGGUAUUACAAUUCCGCAGGAUUCGAAUUGGGUUUGUUACUUUUUUUCCUUUCUGGGUUGCAUUUGUUGUCAAGAUUCUGGUUUUAUGGUUGGGCAAGUGCGUCGGAAUUUCGAUAAGUUGGUUUUGUAGAUUGAUUGGAAAUUCUGGAAGUAACCGAUUGAGAUAGUUUGGAAAUAGGAAAAGAAGCUGCUUUUGGGGGAUUGAUGGGUUUUCAUUUCCAUGUUCGGAUGGCAGAGACGGAUGCGGAUUGAGCUGUUUCAGUACAUAAGCGAGAAGCGUUUUGAUUAACAGUGGAAAAGGGGAUUUGGGUUGUGAGAAUCUGUUUGAAAUUUUGCUUGUUAUCUUCAUUUUCUCGCCUUUGUGGAUUCAAAUGGAGCACCUUGCGAUAAUUGCCCAAGGAUUGGGGGAGGGUUCAGAUUUCGAAGUUGACGACUUCAGGUGCGAUAAUCUGGCUGAAAACGAUGUCAGCGAUGAAGAAAUCCAGCCUGAGGAUUUGGAAAGGAGGAUGUGGAAGGAUCGGAUCAAGCUCCGGAGAAUCAAGGAGAGGCAGAAGCUUGAGGCGCAGCAGGCUGCCGAGAAACCGAAGCACAAGCAGUCAUCUGAUCAGGCCCGGAGGAAAAAGAUGUCAAGGGCCCAAGAUGGUAUUCUGAAAUACAUGUUGAAGCUGAUGGAAGUGUGCAAGGCUCGCGGGUUCGUGUACGGGAUCAUUCCCGAGAAGGGGAAGCCCGUGAGUGGUGCUUCAGAUAACAUAAGAGCUUGGUGGAAAGAGAAGGUGAAAUUCGAUAAGAAUGGGCCAGCUGCUAUAGCGAAGUAUGAGGCAGAGACUGCAGCGGAUGGCGGGAACAUGGAAAACAAAGGAAAUGGGAAUUUCCACAGCCUUCAAAACCUGCAAGAUGCGACUUUGGGUUCCCUUCUGUCAUCGCUGAUGCAGCACUGUGACCCGCCGCAGCGGAAGUACCCAUUAGAGAAGGGGAUUCCACCGCCUUGGUGGCCUUUGGGGACUGAAGAUUGGUGGAGGGAUUUGGGAUUGCCGAAGGGUCAGGUUCCUCCUUAUAAGAAGCCCCAUGAUUUGAAGAAGGCAUGGAAGGUUGGGGUGCUAACGGCUGUGAUCAAGCACAUGUCACCUGAUAUCACAAAGAUCAGAAGGCAUGUUCGGCAGUCAAAGUGUUUGCAGGAUAAGAUGACUGCCAAGGAGAGUUCGAUUUGGUUGGGAGUGUUGAAUCGAGAGGAGGAAAUGAUCACUCAGCAGCACAGCGGCGAGAUUGUGUUGUCUGCUGUAACCGAGAUGCAACCUAUUAGUCGCAAGGAAAGACAGGAAGCUACCACUAGCAGCAGUGGGGAUUAUGAUGUUGACGGUUUGGAAGAUUGUCAAGGUUCUGUUUCGUCUAAAGAUGAUAGGAGAAAUCUACAGAUGGAUUUAGAGCCAAGUGGAGGUAAUGCGGAUUCAACAGUAAGGAAGAGCCACCCUUGUGAAAAUACCAACCAAGCUGUUCAGGAAAAAGAGCAGGCAGAAGAACAACAUAGGAGAAAGAGACUCCGCGGGAGUACCACUCCUGCCGAUCAGCAGGCCACGACAUCUAGUGAUGAACAACUGCCUAGGGAACCGAGAAACACUCUCCCUGAUAUGAACUACACAGUUCUGCAGUCAAAUGGACAUCUUAUUCAUGCUACCCAACCUAAACGUUCGCGAAAUCCGUCUUCAAGAAGGCAAGAAGAAGAUUCGGGGAGCCAAAACCAGUUGCCUGAAUCUGAGUUCAACUACUUUUCCAGCCCGCCUGCUGAUGUUUCUGAACAAAGCAUGCAUGUUGGCGGCCAUCCAUUGUUAUAUUCAGGCAUGCAAAAUACCAGUUUGCAUCCCGAAACUACCUUUGGUUUCUAUUCCUCGUCUGGGGGAUACAGGCUUCCGCAUGACAAACAGCAGCUUGAAAUGCUCACGAUUGGUCACCAGAUAAGGCCCGAGGAUACUGGAUUUAAUGAUGAAAAUCAUGUCUUUGGGCAUACACUGACGUUGGACGGAAACUCGAAUGAGAUUGGCGGAGAUGUACACAGCUUGGUAAAGGAUGCGUUCCGAACUGGGCAAGAUAAACUCGUUGACAGCCAUUAUGGUUCUCCGAUCGAUGGGCUGUCAUUGGAUUAUGGAUUCAACAGUCCAUUUGAUCUUGGCAUUGACGGCACUAGUUCGUUAGAUACCGCUGAUCUGGAUUUCUCGCUGGAUGAUGAUUUGAUUCAAUACUUUGGAGCAUAGAAGGGUUAGGCUCUUCCGGACUGGGAGAUUCUUUGGGCAUCCCCGCUGCAGUGGGCUGCAUCACAUCGAUGGUCUGCAUCAACAAACCAUGAGCCCCACUUGUACAAAAUAGCCCAACCUUGCUGUAGGGGAGGACAGUGGAUUUCUUUAGGUGAAUGGUCUUAUGGUAAUCUUCCAGAUUUGUUGCCAGUUUUGCUCCCGUGCUGUAAAUGGAUGGAGAUUUUUUGCCUCACACAUUCUUGUUGAUGGGAUGAAAUCGCAAGAUCUUUCAUUUGCUUGUCUUGCCCUAUUCUUGACAUGGCUGGAUGGUAUUUACAGAUUCAUGAAAUGGCAAUGAAUAAGAUUGUGUCAUGACCAUAGUCACUAUUUCAAAUCAUUUUCCUUGGAUGUGAUCACUUUUCCUUUCUGUAAGGCCCGGUAUCUAUAUCUUGAUUGUGCAUGUAUGUAUUUCAAGGCUCUGAUAGAUGAACUUAAAAAGAUCGAUAGGGGUUGUGCUCCUUGUUGAUGCCUAUAUGUUCUAUUUCAAAACAUCAGUAGCAUAAACUAAUAAAAGAAAGCAUAUUAGUAUAGUUAUGCUUA